CUAGUAUCUACGUACAGGGUGACGUAUUGACAACGUCUAAAAGAGGGUUGGGUAUCAUCUAUAAAACUCCACCAGCUAACCUCCGCCUGCCAUCGCACCCCCGCACGCCACUACACGCCCUACCACUGCUUCUCAACAUCGGGCAACCUUGGCACGCCACGUCCAGAGAGAGAGGGGAGAAAGAAGAGGAGAUAUCCUAUCAACUAUCUGACCUUGAAUAAAGGUACAGCAAAAUGACAGACUUACACUGCCAGAUGCUGCUGUUCCUUGGAAUUCAUAUGUUGCAGUCAGCAGGUACCUCUAGCCCGAGGACAACAAUCUGAAACAGACCAUUCAAGGAGGUUCCUCCUUCAAUCCAGACAGUCGUUGAGUCUACAACACCUCAUUAAAUCAUUCUCAGUAUUCACUCCUCUCUCUGUUAUCAUCUCAUAUGAAAACUGGUGAUUUUUAAUAGAGCAUAUUAUUAUAUUAUUAUUGUAAUUAUCUGGUUAUAAAGGCCUGAUCUGUCAGCCCAGAGAGAUCUGAGUCCUCCACUGGUCACUUCAUUAACACACUACAGACACGUAUGGUCCUGGACCGCCAUCGCGGAGGAGGAUACGCACCCGUGCGGGAUUCCCUUUGUGAGAUCCAAUUAAAAGUCCCAUUGACAUUCCGGUCCUGCGUGGCAGUAUGAUAUCAGUAUGAUAGCUAUAACAGCAGGAACAAUUAAAAAUGUGAUUAUCUUGGACUGUGUUACAUUAUAUUGUGAUUAUAUUAGCCACUGGGUGGUAUGACAUUGGACGCUCAUCCAGUGUCCCACCCAGACACUGUCGAAA